rnacentral:rRNA from 1 species
UCAUUCAAGUUUCUGACCUAUCAGCUUUAGACGGUAGGGUAUUGGCCUACCGUGGCUAUGACGGGUAACGGGGAAUUAGGGUUCGAUUCCGGAGAGGGAGCCUGAGAAACGGCUACCACAUCUAAGGAAGGCAGCAAACGCGCAAAUUACCCAAUCCUGACACAGGGAGGUAGUGACAAGAAAUAACAAUACAGGGCCUAACGGUCUUGUAAUUGGAAUGAGUGAAGUAUAAACCCCUUUACGAGUAUCAAUUGGAGGGCAAGUCUGGUGCCAGCAGCCGCGGUAAUUCCAGCUCCAAUAGCGUAUAUUAAAGUUGUUGCAGUUAAAAAGCUCGUAGUUGGAUUUCUGUUGUAUAAUUUUAUAAUAUUACAAAGGUAAUUAUUAUAUUAUCAACAUCCUUCCUAUUAUAUUCUAAAUAUAUAGGAAAUUUUACUUUGAGAAAAUUAGAGUGCUUAAAGCAGGCAACUGCCUUGAAUACUCCAGCAUGGAAUAAUAAGUAAGGACUUUUGUCUUUCUUAUUGGUUCUAGGACAAAAGUAAUGGUUAAUAGGGACAGUUGGGGGCAUUCGUAUUUAACAGCCAGAGGUGAAAUUCUUAGAUUUGUUAAAGACGAACUACUGCGAAAGCAUUUGCCAAGGAUGUUUUCAUUAAUCAAGAACGAAAGUUAGGGGAUCGAAGACGAUCAGA